AUUGAACGCUGGCGGCAGGCCUAACACAUGCAAGUCGAACGAGUGGCGGACGGGUGAGUAAUGUCUGGGAAGCUGCCUGCUGGCCUGGGAUAACUACUGGAAACGGUAGCUAUUACCGCAUACCAUCAGAGGUGCCCAGAUGGGAUUGGCUUGUUGGUGUGGUAACGGCUCACGAAGGCGACGAUCCCUAGCUGGUCUGAGAGGAUGACCAGUCACACUGGAACUGAGGGACGGUGCAGACUCCUACGCGAGUAAGGAGUGGGGAAUAUUGCAAAAUGGGCGAAAGCCUGAUGCAGGGAUGCCGCGUGGAGGAAGAAGGCCUUCGGGUUGUAAAGUACUUAAAGCCGGGAGGCGUUACGCGCAGAAGAAGCCCCGGCUAACUCCGUGCCAGCAGCCGCGGUAAUAC
rnacentral:rRNA from 1 species